rnacentral:rRNA from 1 species
UACAGAGGUCUCGAGCGUUAGGCGGAAUCACUGGGCUUAAAGCGUGUGUAGGUGGAUCGUUAAGUACCUUGUGAAAUCCCACGGCUUAACCGUGGAACUGCUUGGUAUACUGGCGGUCUUGAGUCAGCUAGGGGCUACCGGAACAAAUGGUGGAGCGGUGAAAUGCGUAGAUAUCAUUUGGAACGCCAAUGGUGAAAACAGGUAGCUAGGGCUGUACUGACACUGAGACACGAAAGCCAGGGGAGCAAACGGG